AUGCCUGUCUUCCGGACGCGGCCCAGAGAGGCUGGCGGUCUACAGGCUCUGCCCUUCCCGGCCCUGGCUGGCCCUCUCAGCAGCCGGUGCUCCAGGACAGGCUGGCGGAGCUGUGGUGAAGUGAGAAGGGCGGCCGGCUGGAGGCAGGAGGCUGAAGAUCUCAGGCCAAGAAAUGAGGACACCGAACCACUUCUUGGGAUGGCUGCAUGGUGCAUGUUUAUUUAUUAUUCCCUGAGGGAGGAAGCACAGUCUGUUGGAACCAGGAAGAAUCAGAGGCUACCAUCUAACUCCAUAGGAGGCCAAUGGGGGAAUCACUUGAAAAGAGGACUCUUGGCAGAAACUCUUGGAAAUCCCUGGGUAAAGUGAAAAGAAACAGUUUUGUUUUUCUACUGAAAGACCUCUCAGGGCCCUAAAUACACUAAUGAGUUUUUUUUUUAAGAUUUUAUUUUUCCUUUUUCUCCCCAAAGCCCCCCAGUACAUAGUUGUAUAUUCUUCGUUGUGGGUCCUAGUUGUGGCAUGUGGGACGCUGCCUCAGCGUGGCUUGAUGAGCAGUGCCAUGUCUGCGCCCAGGAUUCGAACCAACGAAACACUGGGCCGCCUGCAGCAGAGCGCACGAACUUAACCACUCGGCCACGGGGCCAGCCCCUACACUAAUGAGUUUUGCUCAUCAUCAAGAAGGGGAUAGAGCACCCACAUUUCCCAAUAUAUUUUCUUUUUGGCCAGACCUUCUUUCCCUGACGGAGCAUGUUUGGGAUGGAGUCCUGCUGAAGACACUUUGGGAAAGAGUGACCCAGUGUCACACUCUAAUUUCACAGACAGGGACAUGGAGGCCCAGAGAGGGUGAGUCAGGUGGAGCAGAAGACCCAUCCGCUGUGCCCUGUUUCCUGCUCCAGGACUCUUUCCAGAGCAGCAGCCCACUCACAUCCACCCCAACAAACUCUCUCCGCCUCCAUGACAGUCCAGGUUGUUUUCCAAUUUGGAGGUGCCAUUGGGCCCCUUGAAAAGAAGAGAAUGUGCAGUUGCUUGGUAAAAUACCUAAAGUAAGAGAGAAUGUGGGUAUGAAUGUGACCAGGAAGGCUGGGUGUGGGGAGAGCCCUUGGUUUGCAUCUUCACUGGGGACCGGACCAGAGGAAGUGGAGAAAGAA
rnacentral:lncRNA from 1 species